GACGAACCGUGCGAACGUUAUUCGGAAUCACUGGGCUUAAAGCGCGUGUAGGCGGAUAGGGACGUCGGGCGCUGAAAUCCCCCGGCUCAACCGGGGAACGGGCACCGAAACGCCCUGUCUGGAGGGACGUAGGGGGACCUGGAACAUCCGGUGGAGCGGUGAAAUGCGUUGAGAUCGGAUGGAACGCCCGUGGCGAAAGCGAGGUCCUGGACGUCUUCUGACGCUGAGACGCGAAAGCUAGGGUAGCGAACGGG
rnacentral:rRNA from 1 species